UUAGCCUGUUUGGUCUUAAUAUUUCUCAUUUAGCUUCAACAAAGUGAGAAUAUAAAAUCCAAGAAGCCUCCAAUUCAAUCUGACAACGUGUUUGCUAACAAUUACACUCCGAUUUUAUUACUGUAUGCAUCAGACCCGAUGGCACCAGUAUUUUAAAGCCUUUUAAACGCUGGGUCCCUGCCGAGCCCGGACGCAGUAUGUUUUCACGAGAGAAUGGCGUAAACAUUUUGUAAAUUAAUAUAAACAUAAAAUGCUGCUGUAGGAUACUCGUGAGCAGAGUUAGGCAGUAACUAGUUACAUUUACUUGAGUGGCUUCUUGUAAAAAAAAAAAACAAUUGGUGGGUCGCAGACACGUGACCCGGAUGUCGCGCGAAAUUCAGAUGGUUUUUCAGGAAGUGGAUUUCUCCGGUUCAAAACAGAGCAAAGUGGAUCGCAGCGAGUGCGCUAAUGCCCUAAAUGGGCUGGCACAGACGAGGCAUCGCGAACAAAUACGCGUAUAUUUAGGAUAUGAUCCAUAUUAUCUCGGUAAAAAAAAGAUUUGUCGUGUAAUCUUGAGGAUUUACCCGGCGUCGAAACGAUCCCCGUAACUAUCUGCUGCUGCAGACCUCAUAUUAUUCAACGAGCCAGAUGAAAGCUUUCAACAGCCUGGAAGGAUAGGAUUAUUUAGUUUCAGUUUAAAGAAGCAUUAAAUGGCCGUCUGCUUGUUUCUGCCCUCUAAAUAUAUGUUGAAGAGGCACCGCCACCUCUACUAGUGAGUCACCUGCCUUUGCUUUCCAGGGCACAUAAAACAAAAAAGGUACAAAUAUCUAACUUCUUUUUUUUUGUUACAGUUAAA